ACGUACGACAGGUCUGACUACUUCAGUACAACACCGUCAAUUGAAUCGAUUUUUUAUCCACUAAUCGGUUCAUUCUUUUUAAAAUAACAAAUAUUGCUUUUUCUCGUGUAUAUAAUUAUUAUGGCAAAUGGCAUAUACGGAUAAUUUUUUGCGGGAAAUUUUUGAAUUGUACAGGGAACAAGAGUGCCUUUGAAAAGUAAUGGGUGAUGUAUAUCAUGACAGAAACGACCGAAGGGCUAUGGACAUUUUAGUUGAAAAAUUUUAAGAAGUAAAUAAAUAAGCCAGUGAGAAUUUUGUGAAAAGGGAUAUUAACAAUUAUUGAACGUCAUAUAAAAGGGAACUAAAAUUAGUAAUAAAUUCAAUUAAAUCUGGAGAACGGACUGAUAAUAUUUAUAAACAAAGUUAUGGUAUUUUAAAUGGCUGUCAUUCCUGAAUGAUCAAGAUAUACCCUGGCAGGUGUUUCUAGCCUAUCGGAUGAAGAAAAUAUAAGUAUUGAAUUUAGAAAUGACUGAUGAUGUUCGCUUCCUAACACCCGUGGAAGCCUAAGAACACUCACAAUCAUCUCAAGAAUCGACAUCGUCAAUGAACUUUGCUGCAGCUGCUUCACAUACAAAAACGCCAUCUGAGACCAAAAAACGGCAGAAUUUAGAAUCAGAUACCAGAGAAGAGAUUAUUCGUACAAUCAAAGAGAAGUUACAACAAACAAGAGAAAUUGUACAUGAAAAGGAUAGAUUCGAUAUUUUUGGAUAUAACGUGGCCAUAAAAUUAAGAGCCCUUCCCAAUAAUCAACGGAACAUAGCAGAAAAAUUAAUUAACAACGUAUUGAUUGAGGUUGAAUGCAAUUCCUUACUUAGGGGAUGGCAAUUGACACCACUACCAAAUACCAAUAAUCAGUAUGGGGAUUCCGCUCUUGUCUAUACAGAAUUAGGUACACCCCUGCAUAGUAACAAUGCAGGAAAUUCCGCAUCUCACUUCUUUUCGAUUUUUAAUGAUAUUUUAUAAUAAUUAGUUAUUUCCCAUGCAACUGUUAACGUGAUUAUUAGAGAUUUUGUUCUUUACAAGUUGUUUAUUGCCUUUUAAAUAUUUUGUCAGGAGUAUGUGCCCAAGAUAUUUUCUUUUUUAGAAUAGGUUUAUGUGUUAAGGAAGCACACAUAUUUAUUUUUGUUUUAUUUUUAUCUUUGAGACUUUCCUGUUUAAGGUUGCUCAAACAAAAUAUAAAACUAAGUUUUUAGGAAGACAAUUAUUAAGUUAGUUUUCUCUAUAUCAGUAUAGAGGUUUACUUGAAAGAUCACAUGUUUUUUAAGUUUGUAAGAGUUUUAUUUUUUUAAUUAAAUACAUUAUUACUGCCUAGAUAA